GUCCAUGAGCGGCCGACCGCGUUCGGCUGGGCGAUUGCCUUCAAUGCGAUCGGUCAGCGCCUGGACGUCAUCUCCUCUCGCCUCCCCCGCCGUAUUCCACACGCGCCGCCACCGCGCCCUCGAUCCACUCCCUCCAGCCUCCCCUCCGAGAUGUGGACGCCAGAGUGGCGGUGGUGGGAGGUCAACGACCCACGCACUGGGAGGUUUACCCCUGCGCAUGCCUCCUCGGCCGUGCCCCCGUCAGCGGAGGUGAAGCAGGAGGCAGGCCAUCGCGGCCGCCCCGCCGGGGUUGACGAGGAACAGUAUGGCGUCGGCGCUAUCUUCUUCAGCAGUGAAGAAGAAACCCCUUCCCUCGGUGGCGGCACCCCCAUGCCUCCGCGCAACCUAUACCUGCGCCGAAACCGCCGCUGGGAUCUGCAGUGGCCAGAAGAUUAAGCCAGGAAUGGACCGCAUGUUCCUUGGAGUAGCAUCAGUUGAUGGAUCCAACAAUGUCAGUAGUAACAGCGCACGCAGGACUGGAUCCAGUCCGAACGAGAAGUCAAGGAGCCCAGAAGACGAAGUUACGUCCAUGGACAAGAAUAUGAACGAACUUCUGGAGAAUAUGGGAGGCUAGGAAGAAGGAACUCCAAGAUAAGCAGAAGGCACUGUUUAGGAAGAUUGAGCAAGUGCAGCAGAUGGCUAGAGAGUGUGGUGCAAGUGAGGCGACCCCAGAUCUGUGGCUUGGUGUGCUGGAGAUCGUCCAUUCCGAUCAUGCGACCAAGUUCUUCAUGGAGUCCGACCCAGUCGUAAGGAUGACCAUGAUUAAGUACUAUGCCAGGGUCCUACGUGACACCCCAAGCAAAUCGCACCUGAAGAGGGAUCCAAAACCUGAUGUGGAUUCUGAAGAGGAGUGGGAGGAGGAAUUUUUCAACUUGUUGGGCCUAGAUAAUAAAAAUGCAGCUGGAUUCAGCUAAGUUAAAGGUACUUCAAGUAGGGAAAGGGAAGUACUACCUGGUGGACGACAGCAAUCCAAACCGUCCCAAGGGAAGCAAGUAUCAUCGUCAAGACCUUCAAAACGCUGCAGAACCACACCGCAGAAAUGAGAGAUAUUCAACAACAUGCAUUCAUAUCUUAGAAAGUUCAUCAAAAGGGCCAGCCUCCAUGUGUUCCUGCGCCUAUGAAUGCAUUUUGUGACUCUAUUGGGCUGAUGAAUAGGUCUUUGACAAAUGUGUAUGUUUGAGGACAUGCAAUAUCGUGUAUGUUUGAGGACAUAUUUUCUUACUUGUUGAGUACUCCCUCCAUACCCAUGUUAGUUGACGUUUAGGCCAUAAUUGUGCUUACCAAGGAGUCAUUAAUUAGAGAGUAUUUUUCCUUGUCUACCCCUAUUAAAUGAGGUUGCAAGUGCAUUUCAUACAAGAAAUGACAAAGGCUCAUAUAGCUAGUGUAGCAACGCUUGUGGCUGUAGUGCAGAAGGUCCCUGGUUCAAAACCUAGGUGGGAUAAGAUUUUUGCUGCACAAUUUUGCAUGGCGCUGUUGGGUUCAGCCGCGAUAGGCGCGUUUAGCCUCGUUAGUUAGCAAGCGCGCGGUGAGCGCGACCAUAGGCGAGUGAGCCAUUCGUGGCGGCAAGCUUACAGAGGGAGACGAAGGAGGCGACCUUGCUAGCUGUGGAAGCUGUGCGACGGCGCGUGUGAGCAAUGAAUAAAGGGCGACCUCGAGGAGAGCACGCGCAUGCGAGCGAUGAAUGCGGCAGCGAAGGGACGCAGCUCCACGGGCAGGCUAGGGGCAAACAUGUCAACGAUGCACCUAUUACGGCCACCACGUCAGGCUUUAUGAAAACAGGCCUAUGACUCAAAAUGUCAACUAAUAUAGGUAUGGAGGGAAUAUGUUUGAGGACAUGUAAUAUUUUUAGGACGUGUAUGUCAAUUAGAGGACUUCUUUUUACUUGUUGAGUAAUAAUUAUGGUUCCAGGCUUUUCGUGCACUAACACAUGUCAAGACUGGUACAGCUUUACUACUCAUGACUGGUACAACUUUUUCUUUUCCUGUACUCUAAUCAGUUAAGACAUUCAAAUUCCAAAUUGAACAGAUUCAAUAGAAGAACUCACAGCCAAAACAAGCUAAAGAGGAAGGGCUCCACAUGGAUUGCCUUUUUUUCUAACUAUCAGAAGGUUGUUGCUGUCUUUUUCGCAUUGGAUUUCUUUCACGAGACUCGGAAAUCAAGAGGAUGGGAACGACUGUCAAAGGGACUUCUGUCACAAUCCUGAUCUUAAAGGGAAAUCACGGAGGUCUCAACCAGAGCCAUUAGCGGAGGAAAUAUUUCUGCCAAAGGGACUUCUGUCACAAUCCUGAUCUUAAAACAACAAUAUCCAUUUCAUAGGCGAGGGUGGGGGAGAAGCAAGCCGAACCUCAGAUCGACCCGGACAUGUAAAAAAUUCUCGGCGUCGAGAGAAAGACGAGAUUCAGUAAGUAAUUCAGUGAGUGCUUUCUUUUAUAAGAAGAGCAUCGGCUCGGUAGAAGAAAA